AGUGAACGCUGGCGGUAGGCCUAACACAUGCAAGUCGAACGGCAGCACAGGAGAGCUUGCUCUCUGGGUGGCGAGUGGCGGACGGGUGAGGAAUACAUCGGAAUCUUCUCUGUCGGGGGGGAUAACGUAGGGAAACUUACGCUAAUACCGCAUACGACCUACGGGUGAAAGCAGGGGAUCUUCGGACCUUGCGCGAUUGAAUGAGCCGAUGUCGGAUUAGCUAGUUGGCGGGGUAAAGGCCCACCAAGGCGACGAUCCGUCGCUGGUCUGAGAGGAUGAUCAGCCACACUGGAACUGAGACACGGUCCAGACUCCUACGGGAGGCAGCAGUGGGGAAUAUUGGACAAUGGGCGCAAGCCUGUUCCAGCCAUACCGCGUGGGUGAAGAAGGCCUUCGGGUUGUAAAGCCCUUUUGUUGGGAAAGAAAUCCAGCUGGCUAAUACCCGGUUGGGAUGACGGUACCCAAAGAAUAAGCACCGGCUAACUUCGUGCCAGCCGCCGCCGUAA
rnacentral:rRNA from 1 species